rnacentral:rRNA from 1 species
GCGAUACAGGGUGACAGCCCCGUACACAAAAAUGCACAUGCUGUGAGCUCGAUGAGUAGGGCGGGACACGUGGUAUCCUGUCUGAAUAUGGGGGGACCAUCCUCCAAGGCUAAAUACUCCUGACUGACCGAUAGUGAACCAGUACCGUGAGGGAAAGGCGAAAAGAACCCCGGCGAGGGGAGUGAAAAAGAACCUGAAACCGUGU